AAAAUGGUACGUCUAACCAUAUGGGACAACGAAGCGGCUAAUUUCAGGGAGUUAAAUCACAUAUCUACCAUGAAAAACCAAAAUCGUAAUCAUCACAAGUAUCAUUCCAAGGUUACAUAAAAGAUAAUAAACUAAACAAAAAAUUUAUGUCAAACUAAAUGCUUACAAAUAUUACACUUAUACAGAAAAACUAUCACUCACAACCACAUCAGGAUCGCACUUUUACUUUGACACCGACAUUGAUAUCAUACAACGCUUCUAAAAGACGAAUAAACUGCUAUCAUAAGCCUGAUAGCAAACGACACCACUCAAUACUCAAAAAUACUCUUUUCUCCUAUAAAAUUUGAUUGCUCAACACAAUAUAUUAUUCAAACUCACUUUUGUUUAGAAAAGAAAAACUGAUCACCGCAUCACAUUCAAACAAAAACUCCAUGGUUAAAUCUACAACACACAAAAUUAACAAACACUUUUUUAAACUAAAAACUACUAAUCAAAAAUAUAAAUUUUCUUAAUUUGAACAUGUUAUCCGCGCGUAGCG
rnacentral:lncRNA from 1 species